AAUCGUCAUGUUACGUUGCAUUAUUGACAGUAAUUCACUCUCUAAAAGUUACAAUCUUGUCUCAUUUUUCUUCGAAAACAGAUCAACAAAUGUAUCCCAAGCUUCUUUUGAAGUCUUUGCAUUCCGAAUGUGUUCCAACACAUCUUCCACUGUUGUCUUUAAGGCAAGCAUGGCCUUACCUGCCUUAAUCUUCCAUUUCCUAAGAACACCGUUUCCGUCCUCUUCUGGUUGUGUACUUUCAUUCCCAUUAACUACCUUCCAUAGAUUUUGGCCUUGCAGAUACAACAUC
rnacentral:lncRNA from 1 species